UUGAGCAAGCCGUAGCGACUGGACAUGGCGCGCUGCUCCCCGGCGAAGCCGCUUUGCACCACCGCCGCGGCCCCGCGCCCCUCUCGCCGCCGCGGUCUGCUCAUCAGCGCCUCUGCUUCCCCGGCCACGACAUCAACAAGAACGCACCGGCUGUUGGCCCUACCGAAGCCGCCUAAACCACCGCCGCCGCCGCCUCUCCUCCCGCGCCCAAGGCUCCCCAUCUCCAACGACGCCCCCACCAACGGCAAGCCAGACGACCGCCGUGAACCAUCGACGGGCGCGGCGUCCUCUGGCUCUGGGUCGUCCUCGGGCGCCGGAGACGUGCUCCGCCUCAUGGGCUUGCUCCGCGUCGCGCCCGACGAGGACGUCUACGUCUCCCUCCUCAGGGACUCCGUCGAUGCCGCUGAGGUAGCCACCGUGCACGCCCACGUCGCCGCCACACGCGCCGCGUCUGGCCUCCCCCUGCCGCUAGCCAACCGGCUGCUACUCGCCUACGCGACCUGUGGCGACAUGGCGGCCGCCCGCAAGGUGUUCGACGAAAUUCCCGUCAAGGACGGCAUCACGUGGGCGACCAUGGUGUCGGCCUACUCCGAUGGGUGUUUCCACGACGAAGCGAUAAGGCUUUUCACCCGCAUGUGCCAAGAAGAACAGGGGCUCGCUGGUGAUCUGCUCGGCCAUGCCAUUGUGGCAGUGCUGCGGUCAUGUGCUCGGCUGGGCAGACUAAGGGGCUUUGGUCAGCAGGUACACGCCCUCGUCAUCAAGACAAAGAGAGUCUGCGGUGAUACCGGUAGUUCGCUGCUGCAGCUGUACAUCGCAAGUAAUCAGCAUGACAGUGCGCGGCAAGUGCUUCAGGCGAUGAGGUGUUGUUCCCAGGAGCCAGUGCCCGAGGCAGCCUGGACUAGCUUCAUGACAGCUUGCCACCGAGACGGACUGCUGGACGAGGCCAUCUAUGUCUUCAGGGACAUGGUGUCCUCUGGAGUCCCUAGGAGCAGCUUCUCCCUGUCUACUAUCCUUGCAGUAUGUGCAGAAUCAGAGAACUGCAGGUGCUAUGGACAGCAAGUGCAUGGCGAUGCCAUCAAGCACGGCGUGGAAACAGACCAGUUCGUCAUGUCUGGGUUGGUCCACAUGUAUGCGAAGCAAGGACGGCUUGCAGAUGCCACGAGGGCAUUUGAGGCAGUGGGUGGCAAGCCUGACGCUGUGUGCUGGAAUGCCAUGGCCAUGGGGUAUGCACGCGGUGGGCGGUACAGAGAGGCCACCAGAAUGAUGUACCAGAUGAAAGCUGCUGGACUGGACCUUCCUGGACUAAAUGUGGUUGGAAUGGCCUGCUCCAGUUGAAGACUAACCUGCAUGGAAUGCAAGCAUUAAGUGGAGGUCAGUAUCUAGCAAUUGGAAAACAUCUAUUCUGGCCUGCAACAGGUGAUUAAGAGGAAGAGUUCUAUGCCAUGACAUGGUUUAGCAAUUGGGCUGUAGAUGGCGAUCACAAUUCACAGCUCACAGGACUCUUUGGAGACGGAAGACUUAUCUUCUGAAGUCAGCUGAAGGGAUGAUGCCAGUUGGUGGCAUCUGAAGUCCAAAGUGUGCAGGCCAUGAACUUUGAGUACUAGUGAUGCGACUUGUUCUUCCUUCUCUGCCGCGGCAACAUAUAUAGAUAUGUGUUACCUGCAUUACGCCGAUCCGAAUGAAGGCGGCUCCAAGGAUGUUGUACUGCUGUGCCGACGCCUAAGCAGACUGCAACCUGCAGGGUGUUUGACCUGUGAGUCUUAGGUGGCUGGCGAGCAAACCAAGAAGGAGAUGGUCUAAUGGGGUGGUGCGGGUGUUUGUUUCGAUCAGACAGCAAUUUGCCACACGCACGCGAACAUAAUUGAUUUGGUUUAGGAGCAGCUUGGUGGUGUUGUACUCAGCUGACAUCUUUAAUCCGGCCUCGCUCUCGAACUGGUGCGGGCUUGUGCGCUUGCCCUUUCUGGCUUUCUGGCUGCCACUAGCUAGCUCUAGCUUUUGUGCACUUGGCCUUGAAAUUUUCGUUUGCUCAAGGGUAGACUUGUUUUGUUCUGCCCAGUUUUAGUCUCAUGUAUCCAAUGAACCAGAAACCUGGCAGGUCCUGAUAAAUUUGUUGAA